rnacentral:rRNA from 1 species
UACGAAGGGGGCUAGCGUUGCUCGGAAUGACUGGGCGUAAAGGGCGCGUAGGCGGCUCAUACAGUCAGAUGUGAAAUUCCUGGGCUUAACCUGGGGGCUGCAUUUGAUACGUGUGGGCUUGAGUGGGGAAGAGGGUCGUGGAAUUCCCAGUGUAGAGGUGAAAUUCGUAGAUAUUGGGAAGAACACCCGUGGCGAAGGCGGCUGGCUGGAUCGCAACUGACGCUGAGGAACGAAAGCUAGGGGAGCGAACAGG